rnacentral:rRNA from 1 species
UACAGAGGUCUCAAGCGUUGUUCGGAUUCAUUGGGCGUAAAGGGUGCGUAGGCGGCGCGGUAAGUCGGGUGUGAAAUCUCGGAGCUUAACUCCGAAACUGCAUUCGAUACUGCCGUGCUUGAGGACUGGAGAGGAGACUGGAAUUUACGGUGUAGCGGUGAAAUGCGUAGAUAUCAAGAGGAACACCUGCGGCGAAGGCGGGUUGCUGGGCCGACACUGACGCUGAUGCGCGAAAGCCAGGGGAGCGAACGGG